GAGCUUGCUCCAGGCGUCGAGCGGCGGACGGGUGAGUAAUGCAUAGGAAUCUGCCCGGUAGUGGGGGAUAACCUGGGGAAACCCAGGCUAAUACCGCAUACGUCCUACGGGAGAAAGCAGGGGAUCUUCGGACCUUGCGCUAUCGGAUGAGCCUAUGUCGGAUUAGCUUGUUGGUGAGGUAAUGGCUCACCAAGGCGACGAUCCGUAGCUGGUCUGAGAGGAUGAUCAGCCACAUCGGGACUGAGACACGGCCCGAACUCCUACGGGAGGCAGCAGUGGGGAAUAUUGGACAAUGGGCGAAAGCCUGAUCCAGCCAUGCCGCGUGUGUGAAGAAGGCUUUCGGGUUGUAAAGCACUUUCAGUGAGGAAGAAAGCCUUGGGGCUAAUACCCCCAAGGGACGACAUCACUCACAGAAGAAGCACCGGCUAACUCCGUGCCAGCAGCCGCGGUAAUACGGAGGGUGCGAGCGUUAAUCGGAAUUACUGGGCGUAAAGCGCGCGUAGGCGGCGUGAUAAGCCGGUUGUGAAAGCCCCGGGCUCAACCUGGGAACGGCAUCCGGAACUGUCAGGCUAGAGUGCAGGAGAGGAAGGUAGAAUUCCCGGUGUAGCGGUGAAAUGCGUAGAGAUCGGGAGGAAUACCAGUGGCGAAGGCGGCCUUCUGGACUGACACUGACGCUGAGGUGCGAAAGCGUGGGGUAGCAAACAGGAUUAGAUAACCCUGGUAGUCCAACGCCGGUAAAACGAUGUCGACUAGCCGUUGGGGGUCCUUGAGACCUUUGUGGGCGCAGUUAAACGCGAAAAGUCGACUCGCCUGGGGAGUACGGGCCGGCAAGGGUUUAAAACUUCAAAAUGGAUUGACGGGGGCCCCGCACAAGCGGGUGGAGCAUGGGGUUUAAUUCGAUUGCAACGCGAAGAAACCUUACUCUACCUUUGACAAUCGUUGCGGAACUUGCUAGAAGUACCAUUGGUGUCUUUCGGAGCCGCAACAGAACAGGUGCUGC
rnacentral:rRNA from 1 species